rnacentral:lncRNA from 1 species
AGUAUGAAUCGCCGCCGCCACCACCAUACAAGUAUGAAUCGCCUCCUCCACCACCAUAUAAGUACGAAUCGCCACCGCCACCACCAUACAAGUACGAGUCGCCUCCUCCACCUCCGUACAAGUAUGAAUCGCCUCCUCCCCCACCAUACUACUACAAAUCACCACCACCACCUCCUUACAAGUAUGAAUCUCCCCCUCCACCUCCAUAUUACUACAAAUCUCCACCCCCGCCACCACCUUACUACUACAAAUCACCACCACCACCUUCUCCUGUCUACAAAUAUAAAUCUCCACCACCACCACCUUACAAGUACGAAUCUCCUCCUCCACCUCCAUACUAUUACAAGUCUCCACCACCACCGCCGUAUUACUACAAGUCUCCACCACCACCACCUCCAGUUUACAAAUACAAAUCUCCUCCUCCGCCACCAUAUUACUACAAAUCACCACCUCCUCCAUCACCAGUAUAUUACUACAAAUCUCCUCCUCCACCAGCGUAUUACUACAAAUCUCCCCCACCGCCUGUCUACUAUUACAAAUCCCCGCCACCUCCAGCUUACCACUACCAAUCGCCACCCCCACCAAGUUACAAGCUGGUAGUGGUCACGGGCAAGGUCUAUUGCAACAGAUGCUGGAACACCACAAGCAGAUACCUUCAGGCAUCACCACAUGGGUCUGCUAGGUACAUUCUCAAUUGCAUUGUAUUCGAUAUUGUUCUCCUCACUCAUUUCCUCUUGAUACUGUGUGCAAUAAUGCAGGUGGCAAAGUGAAGAUCACAUGUGGCGAAUCUUACUACUACGGCUACACCAACAAGCAUGGAAUCUUUAGAAUUGAGCUCCCGCACCAAUCCUGGGAAGAAGCAAGCAGCUGCAAGGCCAAGAUUAUCAAGAGCAGCUACAUCAAGUCGUCAUGCAAUGUCAUCACGGACUACAGGUCUGGUGCAACAGGGGCCAAGCUCAAGUUCAAAUCGAAAACAGAGAAGGAGCUCGUCUUGACAGCCGGUCCUUUCAUCUAUGCAACUCCAGAGCCAUCGUCAGUCUGCUUCUACACAUCACCUCCCUAUGAGUACAAGUCACCUCCGCCACCAACACCGGUCUACCAUUACGCCUCUCCGCCACCUCCGGUCUACUACUACAAAUCGCCACCUCCUCCUUCACCGGUUUACUACUACAAAUCCCCUCCUCCUCCUUCGCCGGUCUACUAUUACAAAUCCCCGCCUCCACCACCAUACUAUUACAAGUCCCCACCUCCACCUCCGCCUAAGUAUUACUACAAGUCGCCCCCACCACCGUCUCCAUACUAUUACAAAUCCCCGCCCCCUCCACCGUACUAUUACAAAUCCCCACCACCACCUCCCUACAAAUACGAAUCGCCGCCGCCUCCUCCUUACAAAUACGAGUCCCCACCUCCACCACCUUACUAUUACAAGUCCCCACCACCACCUCCAUACAAAUAUGAAUCCCCGCCACCUCCAGUCUACAAAUAUGAGUCUCCGCCACCCCCAGUUUACAAAUACAAGUCGCCACCACCACCAUACAAGUACGAGUCACCACCACCACCUCCAUACAAGUAUGAAUCCCCGCCACCUCCACCUUAUUACUACAAGUCCCCUCCACCACCACCAUACAAGUACGAGUCGCCACCACCUCCUCCGUACAAGUAUGAAUCUCCACCACCACCAGUUUACAAAUACAAGUCACCUCCGCCGCCACCUUAUUACUACAAAUCCCCACCGCCACCUCCAUACAAGUACGAGUCUCCACCUCCUCCUCCGUACAAGUAUGAAUCUCCACCACCACCACCUUAUUACUACAAAUCCCCCCCGCCACCUCCAUACAAGUACGAGUCACCGCCUCCUCCUCCGUACAAGUAUGAAUCUCCACCACCGCCAGUUUACAAAUACAAGUCACCCCCGCCACCACCUUAUUACUACAAAUCCCCGCCACCACCUCCAUACAAGUACGAGUCUCCACCUCCUCCUCCGUACAAGUAUGAAUCUCCACCACCACCUCCUUAUUACUACAAAUCCCCGCCGCCACCUCCCUACAAGUAUGAAUCCCCGCCACCACCUCCCUACAAAUACGAGUCACCUCCACCACCACCUUACUAUUACAAAUCUCCUCCACCGCCUCCAUACAAGUAUGAGUCGCCACCACCACCAGUCUACAAAUACGAGUCUCCGCCACCCCCAGUUUACAAAUACAAGUCGCCCCCUCCACCUUAUUACUACAAGUCUCCGCCACCCCCGCCAUACAAAUAUGAAUCCCCACCUCCACCUCCCUACAAGUAUGAAUCGCCUCCUCCUCCACCUUACUACUACAAGUCCCCUCCACCACCUCCCUACAAAUAUGAAUCCCCGCCACCACCUCCCUAUAAAUACGAGUCACCACCACCACCACCUUACUAUUACAAAUCUCCUCCACCGCCUCCAUACAAGUAUGAGUCGCCACCACCACCUCCCUACAAAUACGAGUCACCACCACCACCACCUUACAAGUAUGAAUCCCCACCUCCACCUCCGUACAAGUAUGAAUCACCUCCACCGCCUCCAUACAAGUAUGAAUCCCCUCCUCCACCUCCCUACAAAUACGAGUCACCACCCCCACCACCUUAUUACUACAAAUCGCCUCCGCCACCGGAGUAUCAAUCAC